AAACAAGCAUCAAAUCAAACAAACAAAAUCAAUUCAAAAGAAAAAAAAGGUCAACUCCCCUAAGAAUGCAGCAACAACCCCCAUCCCCCACCCCCGAUUCCGAUCUCCCCCGUCUAGCUAACAUCAAAAUCAAAUCAUCUUCUCCACGUUUUCCCCCACCCACCACCCCUUCCAUCACUGAUACACCUACCGCCGGAGCUCAGCGGAGGAUCGGAAUCGCCGUCGAUCUAAGCGACGAGUCUGCUUUCGCCGUUAAGUGGGCUGUGAAUCAGUACCUCCGUCCUGGUGACGCUGUUAUCCUUGUUCACGUCCGUCCAACUUCCGUACUCUACGGUGCUGAUUGGGGAUCUGUUGAGCUAUCUAUUGUUGAUACGGAGAAUGAGGAGAGUCAGAGGAAGCUUGAGGAUGAUUUCGAUACGUUUACUACUACUAAAGCGUCUGAUUUAGCUCAGCCUUUGGUUGAUGCUCAGAUUCCGUUUAAGAUCCAUAUUGUUAAGGAUCAUGAUAUGAGGGAGAGGUUGUGUCUUGAGGUUGAGAGGUUAGGGCUUAGUGCUGUUAUUAUGGGGAGUCGAGGAUUUGGAGCUACGAAGAGGGGGAGUGAUGGAAGACUUGGGAGUGUUAGUGAUUAUUGUGUUAGGCACUGUGUGUGUCCUGUUGUGGUUGUUAGGUAUCCCGAUGAUAAGGAUGCUGGAAAUGCUGUUGUAGAGCCCGUGGUUUCUGUUGCUUCAGCUGCUGAAGAAGACGAGGAGGAAGCUGAGUACCAUGAUGCUUCUGAGGAUCGAAAAGAUUCAUAAUGAAGGUGGACGAGGUCUUCCCUUGGUUUGCACUUGUAUUGACCAGCUUCCUCCAAGAACCAGUAGGCCCUUUGUGACAUCUGGAGUCAUUUUAUGUAUAUGAACUGUUGUAGCUCGUCUCUCGCAACAUCAACUUAUUAUGGUUUCUUCUUGAUGAUUGUAUCUACUAUGGUUAUCAUCUUCACAAUAUUGUUACUUGAUUGCCUUUGGAUACUUGCUGUGCAAUCUAAAACUUUUUUUAUGACUUCUCUCAUUAGUCAUUACCAGUCUGGUU
rnacentral:misc_RNA from 1 species